rnacentral:tRNA from 1 species
AGCAGUGUGGCUCAGUGGCAAGAGCCUGGGCUUGGGAGUCAGAGGGCCUGGGUUCCAAUCCCGCCUCUGCCC